CCUACGGGCGGCUGCAGUAGGGAAUAUUGCUCAAUGGGGGAAACCCUGAAGCAGCAACGCCGCGUGGAGGAUGACGGUUUUCGGAUUGGAAACUCCUUUUGUUAGAGAAGAUAAUGACGGUAUCUAACGAAUAAGCACCGGCUAACUCCGUGCCAGCAGCCGCGGUAAUACGGAGGGUGCAAGCGUUACUCGGAAUCACUGGGCGUAAAGGGCGCGUAGGCGGGAUAGCAAGUCAGAUGUGAAAUCCUAUGGCUUAACCCUAGAACUGCAGUUGAAACUGUUAUGCUAGAGUAUGGGAGAGGUAGGUGGAAUUGUUGGUGUAGGGGUAAAAUCCGUAGAGAUCAAGAGGAAUACUCAUUGCGAAGGCGACCUGCUAGAACAUAACUGACGCUGAUGCGCGAAAGCGUGGGGAGCAAACAGGAUUAGAUACCCUUGUAGUC
rnacentral:rRNA from 1 species